CGAGGACGUCUUUUCCCAGGGUGAUCUAUUCGCCGGCGCUUGGGAUGUCGUGCAUUUUUGGGUUGUUGUUGGCAACCAGCUCGAGUGUUUUUCAACUUUCACAAUUCUAAGAUGUGUGGACUACAAAUCUCAGAAUUCCCAUCAUAGAGCUGCCAAGGUUGAGAAACACUAUGUUUAUGAAGAACAUUAUUGAGUAUAGUCCUAGGUUGCAUGAAGAACUGGACUUAUUUUUCAAGUAAAUAUACAUAGUCCUCACAAAGAGUCAAAGAGAACAAGGAGAAUGGAGGUCACAGAUGUGGAGAGGGUGAGUUCACCAUUCUUAACCUUAACAAGAUUUCAAGCUAGGUGAGUGGCCAGCAGUAACAACAACAGCUUAGUUGUUCAGAAGACAUUCUCCAGUUUAUUCAAGAGUGGUUAGUUGUAUGAAAUAAUAAAUGCUUUUGAUGAGGAUGCACAUAUCCAAUUGUAUUAAA